CGGUGUUUAACUGGCGUGAUGUGGGACGUCCUACCGGUGGGCUUAGCCUCGCGAGGGGCGGCCCAACUAAUAUCCCGUCGCGGUGCUCUUUACUGAGUGUCGAGUCGGGCCGGUACGUUUACUUUGAACAAAUUAGAGUGCUUAAAGCAGGCUAUCCUCGCCUGAAUACUGCGUGCAUGGAAUAAUGGAAUAGGACCUCGGUUCUAUUUUGUUGGUUUUCGGAACCCCGAGGUAAUGAUUAAUAGGGACAGAUGGGGGCAUUCGUAUUGCGACGUUAGAGGUGAAAUUCUUGGAUCGUCGCAAGACGGACAGAAGCGAAAGCAUUUGCCAAAAAUGUUUUCAUUAAUCAAGAACGAAAGUUAGAGGUUCGAAGGCGAUCAGAUACCGCCCUAGUUCUAACCAUAAACGAUGCCAGCUAGCGAUCCGCCGAAGUUCCUCCGAUGACUCGGCGGGCAGCUUCCGGGAAACCAAAGCUUUUGGGUUCCGGGGGAAGUAUGGUUGCAAAGCUGAAACUUAAAGGAAUUGACGGAAGGGCACCACCAGGAGUGGAGCCUGCGGCUUAAUUUGACUCAACACGGGAAACCUCACCAGGCCCAGACACCGGAAGGAUUGACAGAUUGAUAGCUCUUUCUUGAUUCGGUGGGGGGUGGGGCAUGGCCGUUCUUAGUUGGUGGAGAGAUUUGUCUGGUUAAUUCUGAUAACGAACGAGACUCUAGCCUGCUAAAUAGGCGUACCUUAUGGUAUCGCGAAGGCCCCCGGCUUCGGCCGGUGGGUUUUUACUACCAACGUACAAACAAAUCUUCUAGAGGGACAGGCGG
rnacentral:rRNA from 1 species